UAUGUGUUUCCUUUUUUUGAAAUAAGGUAGCAGCUGAGCUGAGUCUAUUUAGGAUUUUGGACAGGCAAAGAAAUCUUCCUUUUAAUUGCUCUGAUUAUUGUGCACUAAUAAGCAAAUCCUAAAUAUGUUUCUUGUUCAAGAUGAUCCUGGUUUUGGAAAUCCUGUGAAAUCUGGUGGAUGACAUAGAAGAUGGCCUGCUUAUCCCUCUCAUUUGCCAGGGACUAUCCCUGGCAAGGGAUUCAACAACAGCUUCACUGAGACAGAAUCAGGAGAUAUUUAGACUAAACUGGAAUCAGGUGGUGAAUUUGGUGCAAGCAUAAAGACCAUGAGAUCCACUAUGAAGUAUAUGAUGAUUGCUGAAAUCUACAAGAAUAUUUCUACUGACUUUGCUGGAAUUCAGAUCAAUCCUGAAUGUAUAAUGCCUUGUGAAAAAAUCAGUAUGUAA
rnacentral:lncRNA from 1 species